rnacentral:rRNA from 1 species
AACGAACGCUGGCGGCGUGCCUAACACAUGCAAGUCGAACGUGAUUGAGAGCUUGCUCUCAUGAAAGUGGCGCACGGGUGAGUAACGCGUAGAUAAUCUACCUGAUGAUCCGGGAUAACACUUCGAAAGGGGUGCUAAUACCUGAUAAGCUCACGGAGUCUUUGGACUCUGCGGGAAAAGGGGGGACCUUAUGGCCUUCCGUCAUCAGAUGAGUCUGCGUACCAUUAGCUAGUUGGUAGGGUAAAGGCCUACCAAGGCGACGAUGGUUAGCUGGUCUGAGAGGAUGAUCAGCCACACUGGAACUGAGACACGGUCCAGACUCCUACGGGUGGCAG